rnacentral:misc_RNA from 1 species
UAAUAAGUGUUUAUAUGGCACUUUUUAAAUCCAUAUCCACCUUGUGUGCAAUGUCAGUCGAUCUUCUUCAUGGAGAUCGACUCCAAACAUCAACCUUUAUUUUUUAACUCUUUGUCUGAAAAAUAUUAUGAAUAAACAAUUCAAAAUA